AUUUCGGGGACAAGCUUUUGGAUUUCUAGGAUCAGACUCUCCUUUACAAACAAAAGUUCCAUCAGCACUGAAAUAGUUACAACCCUUCGUGCCUGCGCAACAGUUGGUGCAUAUUUGAUUGUCCUUCUUUUCUUCUGAAAGUGGGCAAAGUCCGUAGGCAAUUCUUGGAUCACAAUUUAGGGGACAAACUUUUGGAUUUCUAGGAUCAGACUCUCCUUUACAAACAAAAGUUCCAUCAGCACUGAAGUAGUUACAACCCUUCUUACCUGCGCAACAGUUGGUGCAUAUUCGAUUAUCCUUCUUUUCUUCUGAAAGUGGACAAAGUCCAUAGGCAAUUCUUGGAUCACAAUUUCGGGGACAAGCUUUUGGAUUUCUAGGAUCAGACUCUCCUUUACAAACAAAAGUUCCAUUAGCACUGAAGUAGUUACAACCCUUCGUGCCUGCGCAACAGUUGGUGCAUAUUUGAUUGUCCUUCUUUUCUUCUGAAAGUGGGCAAAGUCCAUAUGCAAUUCUUGGAUCACAAUUUAGGGGACAAACUUUUGGAUUUCUAGGAUCAGACUCUCCUUUACAAACAAAAGUUCCAUCAGCACUGAAGUAGUUACAACCCUUCGUGCCUGCGCAACAGUUGAUGCAUAUUCGAUUGUCCUUUUCUUUUGAAAGUGGGCAAAGUCCAUAGGCAAUUCUUGGAUCACAAUUUCGGGGACAAGCUUUUGGAUUUCUAG
rnacentral:lncRNA from 1 species